GAGUUUGAUUAUGGCUCAGAUUGAACGCUGGCGGCAUGCUUUACACAUGCAAGUCGAACGGCAGCACGAGUGCUUGCACUUGGUGGCGAGUGGCGAACGGGUGAGUAAUGCAUUGGAACGUGCCUUGUAUUGGGGGAUAACUGAGCGAAAGCUUAGCUAAUACCGCAUACGCCCUGAGGGGGAAAGCUGGGGAUCGUUUGACCUGGCGAUAUAAGAGCGGCCAAUGUCUGAUUAGCUAGUUGGUGAGGUAAAGGCUUACCAAGGCGACGAUCAGUAGCGGGUCUGAGAGGAUGAUCCGCCACACUGGGACUGAGAGACGGCCCAGACUCCUACGGGAGGCAGCAGUGGGGAAUUUUGGACAAUGGGGGGAACCCUGAUCCAGCCAUGCCGCGUGUCUGAAGAAGGCCUUCGGGUUGUAAAGGACUUUUGUUGGGGAGCAAAGGUAUCUGGUUAAGAGCUGAGAUUAUAGAGUACCCAA
rnacentral:rRNA from 1 species